CAUAUACUCCCUUUGUCCGGAAAUACUUGUCGGAGAAAUAGAUGUACAUAGACAUAUUUCAAUUCUAGACACAUCCACUUUUAUCCAUUUCUUUGACAAGUAUUUUCGGACGGAGGGGGUAAUUG
rfam:Triticum urartu cultivar G1812 contig863436, whole genome shotgun sequence.